AUUGUGCCAUUUCAGAAAGUGAUAAAGUGUGGCUCCUGUCUGUGCCCCUCCGACCCCCGAGAAGAAACUGAUGUGACACGAAUUAACUGGCGCCGUGACGGAAAGCCGAUCUCCCCAUCAGAGCGACCGGCGUGCGCUGCGAAAACCCUGGCAGCUGGAUUGCUCUGAUCAAUAACAUUAUAGCAUGGAAGCAGCUCGCAGUUCAUCUGCAGGUUCAAAUCCAGCUCUGAGAGAGUUACGCCUUCGUGUCAAUCCAGGGAAAACAGAGGAGAGCAGGAGCCCUUCCACAAGGACAAAUGAAAUCUGGACUCUGUGUGGAUGGAAAAUAGAAAUGCUAAGAGGAACGCCACCACCCAGCAUCCUCAGUAAUGUUCCACCCCAGUUGUGUUUCAUGACACGGGCUGUCUUGUCUCCGAUGCCUGCUCCUUUGGUUCUGCCACACCCCCACCUUCCCCACACUGCCGCGCAUGUCCCAGGCGACGUGCUCUGUUUGAAAGACCUUAUUACAGGUGAUAUUGCCAACAGCCCGUGUUCAGAACGCUUCCUACUAGAGCCACUGCCAGUAACGGUGUUCCUGGGUGCAUGGCUGGCAGACAGCGAGGGUGCUGCUGUGGGCAAAGAGGCCAAAGAAAAGCACAGGGCAAGGGCAAAGCUUUGGAUGUCCCUACUGCUGUCUGCACUCCAUCCCCCCCAGCUUCUUGCUGGAGGCCCCGGACCCGUGCUUCCGUGA
rnacentral:lncRNA from 1 species